UAGAGUUUGAUCCUGGCUCAGAACGAACGCUGGCGGCAGGCUUAACACAUGCAAGUCGAACGCCCCGCAAGGGGAGUGGCAGACGGGUGAGUAACGCGUGGGAAUCUACCGUACCCUACGGAAUAACGCAUGGAAACGUGUGCUAAUACCGUAUACGCCCUUCGGGGGAAAGAUUUAUCGGGGUAUGAUGAGCCCGCGUUGGAUUGGCUAGUUGGUGGGGUAAAGGCCUACCAAGGCGACGAUCCAUAGCUGGUCUGAGAGGAUGAUCAGCCACAUUGGGACUGAGACACGGCCCAAACUCCUACGGGAGGCAGCAGUGGGGAAUAUUGGACAAUGGGCGCAAGCCUGAUCCAGCCAUGCCGCGUGAGUGAUGAAGGUCUUAGGAUUGUAAAGCUCUUUCACCGAUGAAGAUAAUGACGGUAGUCGGAGAAGAAGCCCCGGCUAACUUCGUGCCAGCAGCCGCGGUAAUACGAAGGGGGCUAGCGUUGUUCGGAAUUACUGGGCGUAAAGCGCACGUAGGCGGAUAUUUAAGUCAGGGGUGAAAUCCCGCAGCUCAACUGCGGAACUGCCUUUGAUACUGGGUAUCUCGAGUAUGGAAGAGGUGAGUGGAAUUCCGAGUGUAGAGGUGAAAUUCGUAGAUAUUCGGAGGA
rnacentral:rRNA from 1 species